GUGGUUACGUGAUUUCUGCUAAAAUUCACUUACUUAUAGUUAAGUGCA
rnacentral:tRNA from 1 species